UUUCCAGAAACAGUUCAGGAUGUUUUCUUCUCGUACAAGUUGUGCUUCUGUUGGAUUCUGUUCAUGGAUGGAACGACAUAUGGGUUCAAUAUAAUGAGCAGUUCUGGUAAGUGGCAGCAUUUUACAGUACCGAUACCUUUUGGUAUAUUUUGUGUACUGCACAUACCUCUGCUACAGUUCACUCGAAAGUGAGCCAAGGGAAUAAUAUGCAUGAGUGCAGUGGUCUCAUGAAGCUGCAGUUUCCACUGGGAUGCUUAUCUUCGGUUUUCUUACCACUGUUCGAUCUGUGGUUGGUUCUGCUGUCUGUGUUGGAUCUUCCCCAACUCUUGUAGGUAAUUCUUGACAGAACCUUUGAAACACUUGGUUUUAAUGAAGAUUAUCUAUUUUCCUAUAAUUCUCGGAGUAAGGUGUGCUUUAAAACUGACUUACAACUGGAGUUUUAGAUUUUUGGACAACUGUCCUUGAUUAUUGUUUACUGACAUUGAGACACUAUAUCAAGUUUUUUCUGUGCAAAAAAUUAAUUAACUUUUGUUGAAUACCACUUGCAUGGUGAAAAUGCUGGGAAGCCAAGCCAGAAGAACAUGAAGAAAAUGAGAAAGCCAAGUCUGUGACGUAUUCAUAUGCCUUCUUCCAUAUCAUCUUCUCACUUGCAAGUAUGUACUCGGCAAUGCUUCUACAGGGUGGUCAACCUCAGUUGGGGACUGGGGAGAGUGGGAAGUUGAUUGACGUGGGGUGACCGUCCGUCUGGGUGAGGGUCAUGACUAGUUGGGCAACUGCAAGUCUCUACAUCUGGUCCCUUUUGGCUCCUAUUCUGUUCCCUGAGAGGGAAUUGUAAAAUCC